UACAGAGGUCUCAAGCGUUGUUCGGAUUCAUUGGGCGUAAAGGGUGCGUAGGCGGCGCGGUAAGUCGGGUGUGAAAUUUCGAGGCUUAACUUCGAAACUGCAUUCGAUACUGCCGUGCUUGAGGACUGGAGAGGAGACUGGAAUUUACGGUGUAGCGGCGAAAUGCGUAGAUAUCGUAAGGAAGACCAGUGGCGAAGGCGGGUCUCUGGACAGUUCCUGACGCUGAGGCACGAAGGCCAGGGGAGCAAACGGG
rnacentral:rRNA from 1 species